rnacentral:rRNA from 1 species
CGGACGGGUGAGUAACGCGUGGGGAACCUGCCCUGUACAGGGGGAUAACACUUAGAAAUAGGUGCUAAUACCGCAUAAGCGCACAGUAUCGCAUGAUACAGUGUGAAAAACUCCGGUGGUACAGGAUGGACCCGCGUCUGAUUAGCUGGUUGGCGGGGUAACGGCCCACCAAGGCGACGAUCAGUAGCCGGCCUGAGAGGGCGGACGGCCACACUGGGACUGAGACACGGCCCAGACUCCUACGGAAGGCAGCAG